rnacentral:tRNA from 1 species
GCCGAAGUGGCGGAAUAGGCAGACGCAAGGGACUUAAAAUCCCUCGGUUGCAAGACCGUAUCGGUUCGAGUCCGAUCUCCGGCACCA